rnacentral:rRNA from 1 species
GACGAACGCUGGCGGCGUGCUUAACACAUGCAAGUGGAGCGACGAACCAGGGCUUGCCCUGGGGCAAAGCCGCGAACGGGUGAGUAACACGUGAGUAACCUGCCCCGAUGACCGGGACAACCCGAGGAAACUCGGGCUAAUACCGGAUGUGGCGCACAGGCGUAAGCCUGUUCGCUAAAGGAAGCUUCGGCCUCCGCAUUGGGAGGGGCUCGCGGCCCAUUAGCUUGUUGGUGGGGUAACGGCCACCAAGGCAACGAUGGGUAGCUGGUCUGAGAGGACGAUCAGCCACACUGGGACUGAGACACGGCCCAGACUCCUACGGGAGGCAGCAGUGGGGAAUCUUGCGCAAUGCGCGAAAGCGUGACGCAGCAACGCCGCGUGGGGGAAGAC